GACGAACGCUGGCGGCGUGCUUAACACAUGCAAGUCGAACGAAGUGGCGAACGGGUGAGUAACGCGUAAUCAACCUGCCCUUCAGAGGGGGAAAACAGUUGGAAACGACUGCUAAUACCGCAUACUGAAGGAGGUGAUUGCGUCUGCUUCGAUAGUUGGAGGGGUAAUGGCCCACUAAGGCGAGGAUAAGUAGCCGGUCUGAGAGGAUGAACGGCAACAUUGAGACUGGGACACGGCCCAGACUCCUACGGGAAGCAGCAGUGGGGAAUCUUCCGCAAUGGACGAAAGUCUGACGGAGCAACGCAGCGUGAGUGAUAACGGCCUUCGGGUUGUAAAGCUCUGUUAAUCGGGACGCGAUACCGAAAUAGAAAGCCACGGCUAGCUACGUGCGAGCAGCCGCGGUAAUAC
rnacentral:rRNA from 1 species